rnacentral:rRNA from 1 species
UACGUAGGGUACAAGCGUUGUCCGGAAUUAUUGGGCGUAAAGAGCUCGUAGGCGGCCUGUUGCGUCGGCUGUGAAAACCCGGGGCUCAACUCCGGGCCUGCAGCCGAUACGGGCAGACUAGAGUUCGGCAGGGGAGACUGGAAUUCCUGGUGUAGCGGUGAAAUGCGCAGAUAUCAGGAGGAACACCGGUGGCGAAGGCGGCCCUCUGGCUCGACCCUGACGCUGAGGCGCGAAAGCGUGGGGAGCGAACGGG